CUGUCCUCGAGCACGCUGCAGUCCUCCUGCCUCAGCCUCCUGAAUGCUGGGAUUACAGGUGAUUCAUGCUAAAACUGAUGAACAGAGAUGCAGACUUCAGGAAACUUGCGAAGAUAUUCUUCUUUUCGAAAAUCUUGAUCAGGAGCAGCUUUCUCAAGUCCUCGAUGCCAUGUUUGAAAGGACAGUCAAAGUGGAUGAGCAUGUCUUUGACCAAGGAGAUGAUGGAGACAACUUUUAUGUCAUAGAAAGGACCAGUUGACUUUUAGAAGAAUCAUAGUGAAAAACAAUGCAAAAAAAAGGAAGAUGUUCGAAUCAUUUAUUGAGUCUGUGCCAUUCCUUAAAUCAUUAGAGGUGUCAGAAUGAAUGAAGAUUGCGGAUGUGAUAGGAGAAAAGAACUAUAAGGAGGGUGAUAAGGCUGACAGCUUUUACAUCAUCGAGUCUGGUGAAGUGCACAUCAUGAUUAGGAGCAAGACUAAAACAAACAAGGAUGCUGGGAGCCAGGAGGUUGAGAUUGCCCGCUGCCACAAGGGGCAGUACUUUGGAGAGCUUGCCCUGGUCACCAACAAACUUAGAGCUGCUUCAGUUUAUGCAGCUAGAAGUGUCACCUCCUUAGAAUGAUUUAGAAUCAGAUGCUACAAGGGAUCCAUGAAGUAGGACUCUUUUUCAGACUACCCUGGGUAACCUAUGUUGGAACUCUCAGAAUCAUGAAAGGUAACUAAUGUAACUAAUACUCCCAAACAAGCAGCUAACACUGGGAAAGCCCAUGUGGUGAUCCUACAUUUUCCUAAGGUUCUUCUUUUCUAUGAUGUUGCUUUAUUAUCAAGUAAAUUCAGAAAGCAGGUCUUGUACUUUACCAGAUAAGAACCACACUUGUUUCUUGCAAAGAUAGCAGGUGCAUUGGGCUUUAAGAGUGACCCAGAAGUCCAGCCUCAGACUUUGUUAGGACUGUGAGUGCUGAGAAGAUCCCCCUUGCCACUUCUUCAUGCCAGCAUUGGUUAGGGUGGUCUGAAUCCUGUUCCAGUUACCACUAGGUAUGGGCCUUCUCACAAGUCCCACUAUGUCUUUCCUUUCACAAAACCCUCCUUGACACCCUGAUGCAUUGAUGGUUACCAUUUUAUAGGUUAGAAUUCAUCAUGUUCAUGUCCUCCUGCUCCAACUCCAAUGGACAUAGGCUCAUCAGUCCAGAUCCUUACUGCAUGUGAGUCCCCUGGGGCAGAGGAUUAAGAGGGUGGGCCCGUAGCUUGAAGGAAGGAAACAUUAAAGGGAGCAGUAUGAAUGAGGAAGAGCAAAGCUAUUAUCAUAGUGUUCCAGUUCCCUUUGCAGCUUGGAGAAUCAGAGGUGACAGACCAAGUUUGACUGAGGCCUGAGGUGUCUCCAUUGUGCCAAGCAAGACCGACACUGACAGGGUAUCAACACAUAUGAUGCACACUCUUCUGCUGAAUUACAUCUCAGCCUUCUCAGUCAAUUAUCACAGGUGAAACACUCCCGAAACAAACCCAAGAGGAGAGCUGCUACUGCCCUGCAAUCUUGCACUCUUUGCUCUGUGGUGAGCAGUCACCCUUUCCUGCCCGGUCUUAAGUACCAGGGAUCAAAUUCAGGACCUAGCCCUCGUGAGGGAUAGAACUCGGGACCUUGCACUUGUGAAGCAGACACCAGGACCACUGAGCUAAAUCCCUGGCCCACUUCUGCUUCUUCUGAGGAACCCCAGUCUUUGCCAUCACCUUGGACAUCCAUCUCUAGCCUUCCAGCGCAGACACUCCAGCUUCCUGAUACCAGCUCGCUUGGGACUCCAGGUCUUUGACCUCUGACUGGAUCCUCCACCUCUCCAGUGUACAGACAGCCCUUUUGCACUCUUCCACACCUGACUCUGCAGGCAGCCAUUGGGCCAUCAAAGGUGACUCAGAUUUGGCCAGUGAGAAAGAAGUGGAAGACUCCUGGAGGUUCUGGGAAGAUGUCUGCUUCCUUGAUAACAAAGAGAGAUGUGGCUGGUGCCAAUCUACUCCAGCUUUGAAUAUCUCUGUGCUGUCUGAGAGAAGGAGGCCAUCUUGCAAUGUUGGGGCCAGAAGCAGGGCAAAAGUCAGUGUAUUGAGAAUGGUGAUGGAAGGAUUCAAAGAGCCUAGGUGAUGUGCAACUGAAGCAAAUGGUGUGUCCAUCAGAAAGACAUGUAAAGGAACAUCCACAGCGGCCAUCCUCAUGACAGCCAAACUAGAAACCCAGAUGCCCUUCAAAAGACAAAUGUGUCAAUGUCAAUAUGAUAUAGUCAUAAAAUGAAAUAUUACAUAGAAACAAAAAAGAGCAAACUAUACACAAUAACCUUACAGAAAUAAUAUUAAAUUUUAAAAGCCAGACAUACUGGGCACUGUGUCCAUAGUCCCGGCUGAGGCAGGUAGAAAACUUAAGCCCAGCUCAUUUGAGAUUAGACUGGGCAACAUGAUGAACCCUAAAAAUAAACACAGAAAAACAUAUUGUGUGGUUCCAUUUACAUGAAGGUUUUUUGUUUUGUUUUGGGGGGUUUUCUUUGGUAUCAGGGAUUGAAUUCAGGACCUUGCACUUGCGAGGCAGGUGUGGCACCACUGACCUAAAUCCCUGGCCCUCCAUGAAGUUUUUAAACAGGUGAAAUUAUGGCAGCAGAACUGAAAAUAGUAAUCACCUUUGCAGGAGAGAUGGUAACUGACGGGGCGAGAGAUGGCUGUCAGGGUGGGGAGUGCUCACUCUGGUGAGGAGGCAAUCUUCUGCUGAAGAUGUCCCCUCAGGAGCAGCCGAAGAGGGCUGGGAUCUGGACCACACAGUGCCGUGAACUCCGUAUGUCUCUCCAUUGGCCCAUUAUCUUACUCUUUAAUAAUUAAUAUUCUAUAUUCACAUCCCACAAUAAGAUUUUAUAGGUUCCUCACCUGGUACAGAUCCCAGCUGGUACUUCUCUUAAUAAAUUUAUUCCUAAAUAUUUUAUAGUUUUUGUCAAUUCCUUCUCUCAUUUUUAUUUUUAGUGGCUUACUUGUAGCAAAUGUUAUUUUUGUUUUG